ensembl:miRNA
UCCUAGGGGAUUGACAUAGUCUGUGUAAUUUACCUUCGGAAUGUGUCAUUCCUCUGUAGA